UACGGGGGGGGCAAGCGUUGUUCGGAAUUACUGGGCGUAAAGGGUUCGUAGGUGGCUGGCUAAGUCAGACGUGAAAUCCCUCAGCUUAACUGGGGAACUGCGUCUGAGACUGGUCGGCUCGAGUGCAGGAGAGGAACGCGGAAUUCCAGGUGUAGCGGUGAAAUGCGUAGAUAUCUGGAGGAACACCGGUGGCGAAGGCGGCGUGCUGGACCUUUUCUGACGCUGAGGCGCGAAAGCUAGGGGAGCAAACGGG
rnacentral:rRNA from 1 species